AUUCUUUAAUACUUUCCAAAGACAAACACAAAAAACAAUACCUAUCAGAGAGGAGAUCUUUACAGCUGGGAGGACUUUCCACACAACAACCUCAACCCUAAGGAGGAAUGUCGGUGGAUUCACAGUUACACUACGUAUCGUGAAUGACCCAGUUUCCCAAAUACACUCCAUUUUACCCAGCUACGAAAUACUAGUUCUGGAGUGACUCACGAUGGCAAGCCUAAACUCAUACAUCAAACACAGGCUCUUUCUCACUCGGCC